rnacentral:tRNA from 1 species
GGGGUUGUGGCUCAGAGGUAGAGUGCUCACCUACCAUGCGUGAAGCACUGGGUUCGAUCCUCAACACCA